rnacentral:rRNA from 1 species
GCCCACCUCAAGAUGAGAUUUCCCAUUUCUUUAAGUAAGUAAGAUCCCUGAGAGAUGAUCAGGUAGAUAGGUCAGGAGUGGAAGUACAGUGAUGUAUGGAGCGGACUGAUACUAAUCGAUCGAGGACUUAACCAAU